rnacentral:tRNA from 1 species
GCCCGGCUAGCUCAAUCGGUAGAGCGUGAGACUCUUAGUAUUCACGGUCUAAUAAACUCGAUUACACGGCAUCUCAAGGUUGUGGGUUCGACCCCCACGUCGGGCU